rnacentral:tRNA from 1 species
AAUCAGGAAGCAAAAAAUUGUAUUUAGUUUCGACCUAAAAGUUUGACUUAAAAGUCUCUGUUUU